UCUAGGCAAAUCACUUAGUCUCUGUCUCAUUUUCCUCAUCUGGAAAAUGGGGAUAAUAAUAACAUCUACCUUCUGGAUUUGUUGUGUGGCUCAAAUGAGAUCAUAUUUACCAAGUGCCUGGCUUAUAGGAGCCACAAAUAAAUUCUUGUUCCUUUCUCUUCCCUCAAAGGACUAGAAGCACAUGCCAUGGGCUCGAAAGGUCUCCUAAAAUGGAGUCCAGGGGUAAUUGAACAUUAAAGCAUGGUUGCAUUGUACAAAGUCUGUAGUGUCACCUGGGGGAGUGGUAGAAGAUAAUGCCACUCAUUCUCAUGUUGAGGCUCCAGUUUGUUUGUUACAAAAUCAGCCCCUUCUGAGUCAAACGGAAACAUGGGAAAGAGCUGAAGAUAUGGUGGAGGGAAGGUUUAAAAAGGAGAUGGACGGACAAGGAUGGAAUCCAGUUGAGUACCAUGAAGGCUGAAAGAAAGAUGGCAGAAUAAGAUGUAGGAAAUGAUUCAAGAUCCAUUUGUCCUACUUUGGGCUAAGUAAGUAACGAUAGGCCAGACACUUGGAGGCAGGGCCAAACUUUAGCUCAUGGAUUAGGAAACGCACCCUGAGCUCAUGGCACCCAAUUCCCUGAAAUUGACUUAAGAACAAUUUUUCUUCUUCCAGAGGGUUGCCAGCUUCAAGUCUGAGGACAAGUAAAUGACCAUCAGCUUGGGCUAGAGCUUACUGCAGUGGAUCACUUCACUGAAAGGGAUUGUUUCCAGAAGGCCAGAACUUGGCCUGGCGUGGAAGCAAAUGAUCUCAACGACCAUCUUAUUCAGAGAGGAUACCUGGGUGCAUGUACAAGAAUGGAUAAGCUUCUGGCUGGAAGAGAGAACUUGUGGAACAUGAGGAGAAGAGACAGAUAUGCAAAUCUCUCCCCAGGCCAAUAUAUCCAUGUGGCCUAA
rnacentral:lncRNA from 1 species